CUUCUGAGGCCAGGACGGCUCCAUGAGGGCCGGGACCUCCUACCUCCAAUACCUCUCGUCCAGGCUCCCAGAGCCUCCUUCCCCUCCCCCUUCCCCAAUGUCCAGGGCUCCUCAGCCCCUGUCCCCACGCCGGCCUAAGAGCUCAUCGCCAUAUUAAGAAAGGAAAAAGCUGGAGCUAAAAAUAAGACCAGAUGAGUCGGAGGGCACAGUGGGAAAGGGAGGAUUCCUCAGACUGAAUGACUCCAAGGAGAGCGAAGAACGACUGUUCAUUCCUGCAUCUCUGACAAGACCGAAAGGACCAGCACAGCCAACCCUCUCCUCAUGAGGAAGCCUGACAGUGAGCUGACCCACCGGGCACAGCGGACUAGCUCAAGAAACAAGAGCCAGUGAGUGGGCGAAGAGGAAGGGAGAGCUGCCGCCGAAAGCGGGCAGGAGAGAAGCGCUGCCGGGGCUGCUCGCCUCCCCGAGACGCGGCCAGGGCUGGGCCCAGGCUCGGAGACCAGGCUUUGGGCACGUCCGUCACCCCGUGGGGAGCUGGGGCACGAGGGGGUGGGAGCUUUGCCCGAAGUGAAAGCUACAGGGAUCCAGACUGCAUUGUUUCUGGCUCUAUUUCUUUCUCUUUUUUUUAAUGGCGGUCAGUACUGGGGAUAGAACCCAGGACCCCGCGUAUCCUAAGCACGCACUCUACCACUGAGUGAUACUCCAGCCCCCACUCCCCCACCAGCCUCUAUAUCAAAGCUACACCAGAGAAAACAGCCCAGGGACGGGAUGCGGUCGAGAUGCCCUAAUGACUUGGAGGAAAGGCCAGGGAGCACCAUUCCCUCCUGCAGAGGAGGGGCUGCAGCCCCACAUCCGCCACUCACCACGUGACCCCUCCCAAGUCAUUAACCACUCUGGACCUGAAGCUCUUCAUCCAUGAAAUAAGGCCUCUCCUAGCACGAAAACUGAUUCUGUAAGUUGAUCUGAGGAACUGAGUGGGCUCUGUGAUCCCUCUGUAAGGUGUGGCUCCCCCCUCCUCUCUCACCUCCUGGGUUUCUCUGAAUCCAGCUUGGCUUGUCCUGCCCUGGCUCUCCAGUUGGUUGGACAGUGACUUUGAGGCAAAGAUGCUUGAUUCUGAUCCCCUCCCAGCCUCGACUGUGGUCCCUGAAAAACUUCCCCUGCCUGGCUACCGUGAAGAUCUAAGAAGAGAGGUGUCCCAGUGAUCCCCGUUUUCCAAAAAUCAGAAGCGACACAUCUGACAGCUGAGGGCUGUUGCAAACAUUUACUGUCUUGAUGGGGUACUGAACCUCCCCACUGGACUCCAGUCAGACACAGGCUGGGCUUCCCCUCUCCUACCCG